rnacentral:misc_RNA from 1 species
UUAUUUCUUGUAUUUGAUUCAGACACACGGGCUUAGAUUGCAGCAUAAAUGCGACGCCGAAGCACAUGUUGCUUCCACAGGUUUGUAAGGUUGAAGGCCAAGAGCCAUUCAGUAAUGAUCCCUCCGCAGGUUCACCUACGGAGA